rnacentral:rRNA from 1 species
UACGUAGGGGGCAAGCGUUGUCCGGAAUCAUUGGGCGUAAAGAGCGCGUAGGCGGUCCGGUAAGUCCGCUGUGAAAGUCAAGGGCUCAACCCUUGAAUGGCGGUGGAUACUGUCGGGCUAGAGUCCGGAAGAGGCGAGUGGAAUUCCUGGUGUAGCGGUGAAAUGCGCAGAUAUCAGGAGGAACACCAAUGGCGAAGGCAGCUCGCUGGGACGGUACUGACGCUGAGGCGCGAAAGCGUGGGGAGCAAACAGG